GAGCCAUGCGUCUAGCACAAAGCAAACUAUUCUUUCUCUUUUUACUAAAGAAUAUUGUGUGCUCGUCACUACAAUGGCAUACGCCUAUUUUUUGUGGGUAUAUAAGCUCAUAGUGGGCC